rnacentral:rRNA from 1 species
GACGAACGCUGGCGGCGUGCUUAACACAUGCAAGUGGAGCGACGAACCGGUCUUCGGACCGGGGCAGAGCCGCGAACGGGUGAGUAACACGUGGGUAACCCACCCCGAUGACCGGGACAACCCGAGGAAACUCGGGCUAAUACCGGAUGAGCUCUCAUCUUUUGAGAGAUGUGAGGAAAGAUAGCUUCGGCCUUCGCAUCGGGACGGGCCCGCGGCCCACUUAGCUUGUUGGUGGGGUAACGGGCCUACCAAGGCGGACGAUGGGUAGCUGGUCUGAGAGGACGAUCAGCCACACUGGGACUGAGACACGGCCCAGACUCCUACGGGAGGGCAGCAGUGGGGAAUCUUGCACAA